rnacentral:lncRNA from 1 species
GGUUUUUACAGUGGUGAGCAGAUCUUGUCAAUCUAAUUAAAUUUGAAUUAAUGAAUGCAAAAUAUCUGCAGUCUGAACUCUGUAAGUGAAGGAUGUCUCAUCACCUUUAAGGUCAUUAAUUAAUUAGAUAGAUUAUGGAUUUCGAUUUCGUGCAUUAACUUUAACCACAUAAUAAUAAUAGAGGAAAAGGAUCAUACAUGUGAUGACUUGUCAUAUCUUGGUUCGGACUCUCAUCAUAUCUCGGGUUCAAUUUUACUGUAGCACGAUAUUGUCCGCUUUGGAUCUGACCACGCCCUCACGGUUUUAUUUUUGGGAACUCAUGUGAGAACUUCCUAGUGGAUCACCCAUCAUGGGAUUGCUCUCACGUAAACUUGCUUAACUUCGGAGUUCGGAUGGAAUCCGAAGUCAGUGAGCUCUCAAAAUACCUCGUGAUGGAAUCCGAAGUCUGUAAGUGAAGGAUGUCUUAUCACCUUUAAGGUCAUUAAUUAAUUAGAUAGAUUAUGGAUUUCGAUUUCAUGCAUUAACUUUAACCACAUAAUAAUAAUAGAGGAAAAGGAUCAUACAUGUGAUGACUUGUCACAUCUUGGUUCGGACCCUCAU